AGGCACAGGUAUUAACAUUAUGCUGCAUAGAGAACCUGCACUUUUGGUCUUAAUGAUUUGACAUAUUCCUUGUUUUGUAUUCAAUGGCGGGCAAUCGAGCUGAUGAGGAGUGAGCAGAUUUUACAGAAUUCUAUUCGAGAGCAAGGCCGAGGGCAGAUCUUCAUGGACAUGGCUGUGCUGGUCGAUGCUUAAGGCGACAUGCUCGACAAUAUAGAAUCGAAGGUCAGGUCUCGUGUUCUUUUGAUGUCUUGUGGCUUAGAAGAAAAUGUAGCUAAGGGGAUCAUGUUGACCGCCCCUCUUCCAGGUGAUAUGCUAGCAAUAGUUAAAGUCUUUGUAAGGGCUACCACGGUUCCGGAGACCUCAAUUAUUCUGCCAACAAUUAGUUGAGCACGUACCCUCGGUGAGUGCCACACAUGAGUUCAUCCCCCGUACUUUUGACGUUUCAUGAGCAUCCACACCCCAUGUUUAUGUGUUGAACCUGGAUUGAUGCCUUACUUGUUUUUACUAUAUUUUGAAUGAGGCUUGCGUAUAAUUAUGACAUCGCUUAUUAGAUCAUUUUGCAUAAUAAGUAUGUAAUUUUGGAAAGUCCGAGAGCUUGGUACAUUGACACGGGAGCAACCUGCCAUGUUUGCUCCGACAAAACAAACUUCUCGACCUAUAAGGAGACCGAAGGGAGGAAGCUGCACAUGAUAAAUUAUGCAACUUCUGAGGUUCAAGGGGUGGGGAACGUGGUGCUGAAGAUGACCUCUGGCAAAGAACAAACCCUGAAAGAUGUCCUGCAUGUGCCAGACAUUCGGAAAAAUCUCGUCUCAGGAUCGCUACUAGUUAGGCAUGGUUUUAAACUUGUCUUUGUAGCAGAUAAAUUUAUAUUAUCGAAAAAUGAUAUGUUCGUAGCUAGGGGUUAUCUUAGAAAUGGGCUGUUCAAAUUGAAUGUAAUGGCUGUGCACCGAGC